UACGGAGGGUCCAAGCGUUAUCCGGAAUUACUGGGCGUAAAGAGUUGCGUAGGUGGCAUUGUAAGUAGAUAGUGAAAGCGUUCGGCUCAACCGAAUAUCCAUUAUCUAAACUGCAAAGCUAGAGGGCGAGAGAGGUAACUAGAAUUCCUUGUGUAGGAGUGAAAUCCGUAGAUAUAAGGAGGAAUACCGAUGGCGUAGGCAGGUUACUGGCUCGUCCCUGACCCUAAGGCACGAAAGCGUGGGUAGCAAACGGG
rnacentral:rRNA from 1 species